rnacentral:rRNA from 1 species
AUUGAACGCUGGCGGCAGGCCUAACACAUGCAAGUCGAACGAGUGGCGGACGGGUGAGUCAUGUCUGGGAACCUGCCUGAUGGAGGGGGAUAACUACUGGAAACGGUAGCUAAUACCGCAUACCAUCGGAUGUGCCCAGAUGGGAUUAGCUAGUAGGUGGGGUAACGGCUCACCUAGGCGACGAUCCCUAGCUGGUCUGAGAGGAUGACCGGCAACACUGGAACUGAGACACGGGCCAGACUCCUACGGGAGGCAGCAGUGGGGAAGAUUGCACAAUGGGCGAAAGCCUGAUGCAGCCAUGCCGCGUGUAUGAAGAAGGCCUUCGGGUUGUAAAGUACUUUCAGAGGGGAGGCGUUACCCGAAGAAAAAGCACCGGCUAACUCCGUGCCAGCAGCCGCGGUAAUAC